rnacentral:rRNA from 1 species
UGAUUCAUGACUGGGGUGAAGUCGUAACAAGGUAACCGUAGGGGAACCUGCGGUUGGAUCACCUCCUUACUGA